CGCCAGCUGGAGCAGGUUGAAGAGCCCGGCGAUCUGGUGAAACGUAUUGAGGCGUUCGUUAGCGAUCUGCAGGCGCGGGCCCCGCGCGAACGC
rnacentral:tRNA from 1 species